AACCACAUGGAGUUGGGUUGGGAGGGUAAUUAUGAAACGUUAGGAGGGUAAUUUGGCUUAUACUGAUCCUGGAAGUUUCAAUUACAGCGUCGCUGGCCAGCAGUUGAAUACUAAGCAAAUUUUAUUUGGCAUUGAACCAUUUCUUAAGAUUUGAUUCAGUUUUAUUUAAGGAAUUUGAAACCUUUACGUUGAACCAUUUCUUAUCGUAAUUCAUGGGUUGCUAGCGCACAUAUAGUGCGAUCUAAUGUUUUGAUGCAUACUUGAUUCGGUCUCAAAUGCGAUAUGUUGUAAUUCUUUCUAAUUUCAUUGUUUACCUAUCUCUGUGUGGAUUAGGCGGUACUGGAAACAGUUGCGAGAGUAAAGUCGAAGUAAAAAUCGACGAAGGAAGAAAAGUACAUGCUUCUGACUUAAAUUCAGUACAGUUUUUCAUGGAAAAUAUAAUUGCUCCGGUUAUUUAUCUUAACAGACCUAAAUGUAACUUUGGUUUUAAUAUUUUUAGGACAGUGUCUUCAUAAUAUCAAAUUUUAAAUCAAAAUAUCCAAUGCUGCAACUAGACUUGAGGUAAACUUACUGGCUCAUUACAGUUUCGUUAAGUUCAUUGGUCUUCUCAACUAGACUUGAGGUACACUAUACUUGGAACAAAAUUCUUGAGACUGUUGAGGUUUUCCGGACCCCUGAUUUUUGGACGUGCAAGUCAUCAAGAGAAAAUCAAGAAUGUCACCCCAGCUCAAGAAGGUUUAUAUUUUUGCAAGUCCAUUUUUCUUUUGCUAAUGUCAAUUAUUUGUAUCUCAAAGGAAAGAUACCUGACAUAUGACGAUUCUUUCAAUCUUUUUGCCUUUUUUGUUUACUGAGAAACUUAUAAAACUAGGAUGGAAGGUUAUGUUCUUCUGUGUCGUUAGUCUACGGCCAGCGAAUUGGGAUCGGUCUCGAAGAGUUCUGCAUGUUUACCGUUUUCAAGGUUCGCUAUGUUGCUUUUUGGGAUGAAAUUACUUUAAAUACAGAAGAAAAAUUGAUUGAUAUUAUUGGAUUGUACGCAGAAAUCUAAACACUUUGUCGCUGAAGGCUCUACCAGCUAUGCAGACCAUUGAGAGAUCUGGACAUUAUAUUCUCUAUCUGCUGCUAUUUUAUUACUUUUUUUUUUUGGCUUGGAAUUACAUUACAAGUAUAUAAAUGUAUGAACACUUUGGGUAGACGUGGUGAGCCAUACACGAAUCAUUUGAGAUGCUGGGCUAUUACAAUCGAAUUAGAGGUGGCAAGCCAUACCUGAAUCAUUUGAGAUGCAAGGCUAUUAUAAUUGAAUUAGAUGUGGUGUCAUUCAAAAUUUCUGCACUUUUUUGUUUUUAUAUAUGCUGUUUGGCUAUAAAAUUUGUGAUUACAUGCCCAGAUAAAAUUUCACAUCGAGAUUUCAAACAUUGUACUACAUUAUGGAUAAGAACAAAAAUUGACCUUCUAAAACAUACUUAAAGUUAUAUAGUUUCCGGAUACAAACUGUCCAUGUAAAUAAAAUCUUUUACUGUCAAGUUUUAGUAAUUCUGGUAUAACUCAUUAAUAUGUAUUUUUCUGGGUUUGUCUGCCAUGAGUGUUAUGAUUUUUCUAGCUAAUGGACUAUCUGAAAAUAUUAUGGUUUUCUUAGCGGUAUUUAUGUAGUCUUUCUCUCUCAACUGGGUUUUCUCCGUCGCUGGCCCUAUUCAUUCUGCUGCAGAUUGUUCAGAUUUUUCACUUUCGUCGAGGUAAAAGUUCAAAUCUGUGUAUUUUUGUGUUCGACAAGUUGGUAGGGCAAAUUGUACUUUGCUCUGCAUAUGAGCAAUGUCCAAGUUUUACCCAUUUUGAUAAUGCUUGGUUUGUACUUCUUGAUUUUUAAUUUGGUUUUUGUGUAUUGAAUUGGAUUGACAGUUCAUAUAUAGGUUUGGUUCCAUAUUUAUUCGGAGAAGAAAAACACAAAGAGGACAACACAAUAAUUCUAGCACGAUUAUGUAUGGAAUGAAUUAAAUCUAUUAAAGAAUAUAUUUUGGAUGUGUUGUUGGGAAGGGAUCAGGAUCCUCUUCUGAUCUAAGGGUGAGGAUCCUCAUGAUCAAGGAGUGUGGGCCGUUGGAUGAAAAUCCAACGGUUAUAAUUAUUUUAACUUUAAAAUGACCCCCUGUUUAUAGCCGUUAAAUUUUCAUCCAACGGCUCACACUCCUUGGUCAGGAGGAUCCUCAUCCUUAGAUCAGGAGAGGAUCCUGAUCCGUUGGGAAGAACCUACCCUCCAAAUAUUUAUGAAUUGGAUUCAUUAUAAAAUGGGAGCAUUUUUACUCACCACCAUUUAGUGUGGUGUAUGCUCACCACCUUAUUUACACCGUUAGAUGAAUUUGAAUUUCGAGAUUCGUAUAGUUGAUAAGCACAAAUCUCAAAAUUCAAACUCAUCUAAUAAUGAUAAAUAUGGUGACGAGCAUACACCACACUAAAUGGUGGUGAGCAAAAAUGCACUCUUAUAAAAUAGGUUAAUUGUAUUCGUUACUUCUUUGAGCACUAAAUCUUUUGUUAAAUUUCAACUUUUAGUUUUUGACUUUCCUUUGGCAGGACUUUUAAUUAAGCAUGCAUCUUUGGUGUAAUACAAUUCUAUUCUUGAGAUGAAAUUAAUCAAAUGUCCCAGGUUCUAUAGUUCAAUUCUCUCGGUAUGCACUAUGGACAUUAUUCAAGAAAUUGAUGGUUGUUUUAGCAUAGUGAGAUUGCCGUUGUAAGGUUGAAGGAAUAUGCUUUUAGUUUUCUCUUUGAUCAGUUUAAUGCUAGAAAUACUAAUUUACAUUUUUUUGGUUUGAAUUUGUACGUAGAAGUAAAUUUCGACAAUGAAAUAUGUUGUUUGUACACAUAGUUAAGUAUAUGGUUACAUGCAAAUUAAAUGAACAAAAGAGGCAAUUAAAAAAAAAAUCAUGAACAAAGUUGAGAGGAUGAAACUGGCAAAGUUGUAGUUGUUUCGUUAGCAGCUGUUUCUUGUUGUACAAUAUCAAUUUGAGAUAACUUUGUAUU